AGAGUUUGAUCCUGGCUCAGAUUGAACGCUGGCGGCAUGCCUUACACAUGCAAGUCGAACGGCAGCACGGAGCUUGCUCUGGUGGCGAGUGGCGAACGGGUGAGUAAUAUAUCGGAACGUACCCUAGAGUGGGGGAUAACGUAGCGAAAGUUACGCUAAUACCGCAUACGAUCUAAGGAUGAAAGUGGGGGAUCGCAAGACCUCAUGCUCGUGGAGCGGCCGAUAUCUGAUUAGCUAGUUGGUAGGGUAAAAGCCUACCAAGGCAUCGAUCAGUAGCUGGUCUGAGAGGACGACCAGCCACACUGGAACUGAGACACGGUCCAGACUCCUACGGGAGGCAGCAGUGGGGAAUUUUGGACAAUGGGCGAGAGCCUGAUCCAGCAAUGCCGCGUGAGUGAAGAAGGCCUUCGGGUUGUAAAGCUCUUUUGUCAGGGAAGAAACGGUGAGAGCUAAUAUCUCUUGCUAAUGACGGUACCUGAAGAAUAAGCACCGGCUAACUACGUGCCAGCAGCCGCGGUAAUACGUAGGGUGCAAGCGUUAAUCGGAAUUACUGGGCGUAAAGCGUGCGCAG
rnacentral:rRNA from 1 species